CCGAGUUAACAGAAGUACAGAAAUUCACGAUAGAUAACGGUUGCCCUCAGGAUUUCCCACCAGUGUAAAAGUCCCAAUCAGUAAAACUAAAAAAACACCCCAAUGAAGAUCGACCAUCGAGUUAAUGGUCACCUAGUUUCUCUGAAGAUUAACGUGAGCGUAUUCAUUGCCCGAUCACAACAACAACAAUUUGGCUAUAUCUGCUGGUAACCAACUUAUUCCGUGGCAACUCAAAACUUGAGAAUAUUGCGAAUUUAAAUUAUAUUUCGAUGUUGGGCGAUAUGCUAGGUUUAAUCUAACGUUAAAUCCUGAUGGACCGACUAGGCUUGAAUUGCAUGAUUAUCUAAAUAUUUGUGUCCGGCCUAAGAGUUUACCGAAUAGGUUUAAUUUUACGACUAGUUUUUUUAAUUAAUAAUAAUAUCUUUGCUGGACCUGUUUCUACUGUUUAUACUACAGCCGAGUGAUAGGAGCUAUUUGGUAAUAAAUAUUCUACUAUUUUAGACUAUGUAAAGUAACUUACUUUUAAUAAAUUCAUAACAAAUUAUACCGAGAAACAAAAUUGUAUAUGUGAACUGUAAAGUAACUUACUUUUUUAUAAAUUCAAAUUCA